rnacentral:rRNA from 1 species
AUCGAUGAAGAACGCAGCGAAAUGCGAUAAGUAAUGUGAAUUGCAGAAUUCAGUGAAUCAUCGAAUCUUUGAACGCACAUUGCGCCCUCUGGUAUUCCGGAGGGCAUGCCUGUUCGAGCGUCAUUACAACCCUCAAGCUCUGCUUGGCCUUGGGCGUCACCGGUAACGGUGGGCCCCAAACCCAGUGGCGGUGCCGUCUGGCUCUAAGCGUAGUAAUUCUUCUCGCUAUAGAUGCCCGGUGGAUGCUUGCCAGUAACCCCCAAUUUUUUCAGGUUGACCUCGGAUCAGGUAGGGAUACCCGCUGAACUUAAGCAUAUCAAUAAGCGGAGGAAAAGAAACCAACAGGGAUUACCUCAGUAACGGCGAGUGAAGCGGUAACAGCUCAAAUUUGAAAUCUGGGUCUUUCAGGCUCCGAGUUGUAAUUUGUAGAAGAUGCUUCGGGUGCGGCUCCGGUCUAAGUUCCUUGGAACAGGACGUCAUAGAGGGUGAGAAUCCCGUAUGUGAUCGGUUGCCUGCGCCCGUGUGAAGCUCUUUCGACGAGUCGAGUUGUUUGGGAAUGCAGCUCAAAAUGGGUGGUAAAUUUCAUCUAAAGCUAAAUAUUGGCCAGAGACCGAUAGCGCACAAGUAGAGUGAUCGAAAGAUGAAAAGCACUUUGGAAAGAGAGUUAAACAGUACGUGAAAUUGUUGAAAGGGAAGCGCUUGCAACCAGACUUGCGCGUUGCCGAUCAUCCGGGGUUCUCCCCGGUGCACUCGGCUUCGCUCAGGCCAGCAUCGGUUUUGGUGGUGGGAUAAAGGCCUUGGGAAUGUAGCUCCUCUCGGGGAGUGUUAUAGCCCUCGGUGCAAUGCCGCCUACCGGGACCGAGGACCGCGCUUCGGCUAGGAUGCUGGCGUAAUGGUUGUAAGCGACCCGUCUUGAAACACGG